UUGACGGAAAUGAAAAUUCUCUGUUCGGUUCUCUCUCUCCUUCACACAUCAGCUGUGUGAAAUUUGUUUCUGUAUGAAGCACAGAUGGAGAGCGCACAGAUGGAACAUUUACAUAUUUAUAUUUUCAAUUUUUCAUUGCGAAUUCAGUCGUCGAUGGGUGAGGUAAUUGUGCGUUCCGUGAGUGAUUUUGUAUCGUGAUUGUAAAUUUAAUUUUUUUUUGAGUUCUUGUCUUCUGUUUCUUUUAAUUUUUUUUUCUUUAUUUUGUCAUUUUUAUUUUAUACCUUGCUUAUGUUUUGCAAUAUUUUUUUUUUGUGUUAUAAAAUGAACAUAGAAACGUGAAAAGAAUCAAACAACAAAAAAAUAAAAACACUGAGAAACGGUGAACGAAAAAAAAGUAAAAAAAAAAUAUUCAAAGAGUGAUUUUGUGACUCAGUCGGUUAAUGUGUAAAGACUGGUUUUCUCUGGUGGAAAAGAAAAAAAAAUCAUUUUUAAUCAUAGAACGAUUUUUUCCUUAUUCUGUUGUUCGAUCGCCUGGUAGAUGUGCAUAAUUAAUAUAUCAAUUUUCAUGUGUUGAGUAGUGUCUAGUUAUUAGUAGUCGUGAAGAAAUAAAUUUAAACCGAAAAAAAACCCAUUGAUGUUUUGUCAUUAAUAAGCCAAUUUUUCAAUCAAAGAGAACAAGAAGAAAAGAAUCUACCAGAACUAAUAAAACUAUAAAUUCGUGUUGCACAAUUACGUCAAUGUCAAAAUAUAUUUAUAAAUAUGCAUUUAGCGGCAUUCAAUAUAUAAAAUGAAAAAUUGAAGAAGAGAGGAGAAGAAAAACCCGAAAUUAAAUUCGAAUGAAAUCAAUUGAUGUGUACACACAGUGACAGUAUGUGUGUAGAAACGUGUCUAGCUGUAACUUUUAAUAUAAAUAUUUAAAGAAAUUCAAAAAACUUGAAUAAACUUCUAAACCCAUAAGGAAUUAUAAUAAAAAAGAAGGAAAAAAUCAUUAACUCCACCAGCACCAACUCUGCAAAAUCAGCUCGGGAUUAUUAUUUUAAAAAAAUUUUUUGAACGUUUCACAAGUGGUUUAUAAUUGACUGAGUGCUAUAGUUGUGUAUUAAUUUUUUUUGUUAUAUUUUUUCACCCGACAGUUUCACUGCAGUUUUAUUAUAUAAACUCGAUAUUAUUAUGUGAAAUAAACCGUUUUUUUUCGCUUCGUUUAAAUUAACAACAAAAAAAAACUCAAUUUCAAGCGAGAAGGAAAAAAAGCGAAGUCCAGACAAUUCAGUGUUUUGCGAGGAAUUAAACAGAAAAAAAAUACCCGAGAUAGCUUUGUGUGUGCUUAUUAUUCUUUCGGGUACAAAAGGAUAAUUAAAAAAAACACAAACGUUUGGUGCUUCGGACUAUUAUUUUUUUACUUCAUUCUGUGUGCAUAUAACAGCAAGACAGUUGUUCUCUGGAAAUUGACUUGGCUGGUUAUUCGGAUGUGCGGCUUUUCUUGCUUGCUGUUUUUGUAAAAUUAUGGGCAUUCGAAGGUAUGUGUUAUGGAUAUAUAUAUGUUCUAAGCAUCGUAUAAGAGGAGAUCACGCCAAUCCGACAGUAGUGUUAAAUGUAAGUUACAAGACGGAUUCUUACAAAUUUUUCUUUGUUUUAUUGAAAUAACGAAAUAUUUGACUUCUUGUCGUUACGACGAGUCUUUAGAAGAUUUUUUGAUUUUUGUAGCAAUUGCAUCAAUUACCAAUUCAAAUUCGUAUGAAACAGCGUUAAGGGACUGUUCACAAAUAGCAUCACACGAUUAGGUGGAGUGGGGUGUUCGACUUUGAAAAUACGUGACGGUUAUAAUUUGGGCUAAUUUGAACGAGGAGGAGGGGAGUGGUAAAAAGUCUAUAUCGAUAAUUUGAACGAAGAGGAGGGGAGUGGUAAAAAGUCUAUAUCGAGAUGGCCCCAGAGGGUAAUUCAACAAUGAUGUCGUUUCCUAAAAUUUUAAUCUUUCCCUUUGGUAAAUAAACCAGAUUCCAGUCCACAAAAUUAGGAUAUGAGCAAUGGUAUAAGAAAGUAAACAAUUUUCUUGGUGAGUUUAAUCUUUUAGAAAUCUGUUACUUCCUAAGUUCAAAGUAUCACCGAUGUUGCUUGAUACAAAAUCUUUUACUUCAUUUGUUUUAACAUACAUUACGCUAUAUAAAACUACUCUAACCGGACGUCGUUGAGUAUUGUUGUCAUUGCUAUCAAUAACAGAUGAUUAGUUACUAUUAUCUGUUUAUAUUGGGUCUGACUUAAAGUCUACAUUUAAGAAUAAGGUCAACAAACAUAAAAUCAUUCAAAAACUAUUCUGCUUUAUAUUUGAAGAAUCCAUUCUUUGACGAGUUUUCCCCUUCUAAAAUCUGUGAAUUUCCAGUAGCAAGAGCCAAUACUCGAUGCCACCUGAUGCUACUGCUUUAUAAAUCAUUUGGUUGACGAUAGUUUUAACGCCAAUUAGGCAAAAUAGGACAAGAGGUGCAACGAAAAGUGUAAACAUUGUCAUGAUCCCCUCUGUUUAAGUAAUUGAUUCGCUCUGAUUCACAUGGAACAAGGACAAACCUGUUAUGGACAGCUAUCAUCUGUUAUCGAUAACGACUGCAGGAUUAAACGAUCAGCUCUGACUAAUACGGCCUUAUACAGCAAAAACAUGUUCACAAAAUGAAGUAAAAGAUUUAAAAUCAAUCUAUUGAAAGAACUUAAAUCAAAAUGAAGUAGUAGAUACGAUAGUGAUGGUCUCAUUGAUAUGUUAUUGCCGAUUUAUCACUUAGAUGAACACAUUUUUUCCUCCUGUCUACAUCUGACUUUCAUAAAAUCAUCACACAUGGCCCAAAGUUAAUUGCAUUAGCUUCAAAUGUUAGCACCAUGUAAAACAUAACUUUCAAAUUCCACGACAAACAUCCACAAAUUGCUUGUCAAAUUCUAUAACGACAACUUUUAUAUGAAAAUUUCUACAAAAAUAAAAUAAAUAUUUCUCUACGAAAAUGUCUUAACUUUCUGCUACAUGUUAGAGCGAUGUAUAGACAUGAUGUGUAAACACACACAGAAAUACCAUUUAAUUUCGUUAAUGUUGCUUAGCUGUGCACAUAAAAUUCUGCUCCGCUAAGCCUAAACUGACCAAUGCAAAGGGUCUGUCAAUUGAAAGCAAUUAUAAAAAAGUGGGAACAGUUGACAAUGCGUCUGAGGGUUUGUUUCGAGAGAACGAAUAUAAUUAAAAAUUAUGUCCAAGUUUUACACGUACACCCAUCUCACUAUGGAGACCCAUACGAAGUACAUGGGUCUUAUUGGCUUUUGAUUCGCGAAUUGGAGUUCCUGAGCAAGGAAUUUUUUUUUUGUUGUCCAGAGAUGUAAAAUGAGUUUAAAGGUAUUAGUCUCGUCAGGUUCCUAAUGUUUUAUAUCCACAAUUCUCAGCCGAUAAUCAACGAUAAUAAUUCUUUCGUUACCCUUUAUUGAUACAGCAUUAUUGAGCCGUUUACUGUUAUAUUUAGGGACAUGACCUUUG